CCGACCUUAGCUCAGUUGGUAGAGCGGAGGACUGUAGAUCCUUAGGUCACUGGUUCGAAUUCGGUAGGUCGGA